AAACGUGCAUAGGACACUUUCAUAGCAACUCUUUAAAUCGCUCCCAAACUUCUUAUAAAUUCUCGUCUUCAAGUUGCUUAAAGAAAGUAAGAUCAUUCCUUAGUUU